rnacentral:tRNA from 1 species
GGUAGAAACAGCUCAGUGGUAGGGUGUUUGCCUCAUAGGCAAGACCUUGGGUUCAAUCCCCAGCACUGCCA